UACGGAGGGUGCGAGCGUUGUCCGGAAUCACUGGGCGUAAAGGGCGCGUAGGCGGCUUGGGAAGUCCGUGGUGAAAGCUCGUCGCUCAACGACGAGUCGGCCAAGGAUACUCCUAAGCUCGAGUCGACUAGAGGCAGAUGGAAUUCCGGGUGUAGCGGUGGAAUGCGUAGAGAUCCGGAAGAACACCGGUGGCGAAGGCGGCUACCUGGACAGAAACUGACGCUGAGGCACGAAAGCUAGGGGAGCAAACAGG
rnacentral:rRNA from 1 species